UUUAAAGUCUAAAUAACUAUUCUAGCAAGGUUAAGGGUACUUUCACACUUGCGGCAGAGGAUUCCAAACAGGCAGUUCCGUCGCCGGACCUGCCUGCCAGAUCUGGCAAUCCAGACUCAAACGGAUGGCAUUUGUCAGACAGAUCCGGAUGCUGAUCCGUCUGACAAAUGCAUUGAAUGCAUUGAAAUACCGGAUCCGUCUCUCCGGUGUCAUCU